GACGAACCGAGCGAACGUUGUUCGGAAUCACUGGGCUUAAAGGGCGCGUAGGCGGGCAUUCAAGUCCGUGGUGAAAUCCUCCAAGCUCAACUGGAGAACUGCCGCGGAUACUGGGUGUCUCGAGGGAGGUAGGGCAUGCGGAACUAACGGUGGAGCGGUGAAAUGCGUUGAUAUCGUUAAGGAACUCCGGUGGCGAAGGCGGCAUGCUGGACCUCGUUCUGACGCUGAUGAGCGAA
rnacentral:rRNA from 1 species